rnacentral:rRNA from 1 species
GUGGGGAAUAUUGCACAAUGGGGGAAACCCUGAUGCAGCGACGCCGCGUGAGUGAAGAAGUAUUUCGGUACGUAAAGCUCUAUCAGCAAGGAAGAAAAUGACGGUACUUGACUAAGAAGCCCCGGCUAACUACGUGCCAGCAGCCGCGGUAAUACGUAGGGGGCAAGCGUUAUCCGGAUUUACUGGGUGUAAAGGGAGCGUAGACGGUAUGGUAAGUCAGAUGUGAAAGCCCGGGGCUCAACCCCGGGACUGCAGUUGAAACUAUCAGACUAGAGGGCAGGAGAGGUAAGUGGAAUUCCUAGUGUAGCGGUGAAAUGCGUAGAUAUUAGGAGGAACACCAGUGGCGAAGGCGGCUUACUGGACUGUAACUGACGUUGAGGCUCGAAAGCGUGGGGAGCAAACAGGAUUAGAUACCCCAGUAGUCC